CAGUCGCCGCGGUAAUACGGAGGGUGCAAGCGUUAAUCGGAAUUACUGGGCGUAAAGCGCACGCAGGCGGUCUGACAAGUCAGAUGUGAAAUCCCCGGGCUUAACCUGGGAACUGCAUUUGAAACUGUCAGGCUGGAGUCUUGUAGAGGGGGGUGGAAUUCCAGGUGUAGCGGUGAAAUGCGUAGAGAUCUGGAGGAUUACCGGUGGCGAAGGCGGCCCCCUGGACAAAGACUGACGCUCAGGUGCGAAAGCGUGGGGAGCAAACAGGAUUAGAUACCCCUGUAGUCCCUGUCUCUUAUAC
rnacentral:rRNA from 1 species